GAUGAACGCUGGCGGCGUGCCUAAUACAUGCAAGUCGAGCGAACGGACGAGAAGCUUGCUCCUCUGAUGUUAGCGGCGGACGGGUGAGUAACACGUGGAUAACCUACCUAUAAGACUGGGAUAACUUCGGGAAACCGGAGCUAAUACCGGAUAAUAUUUUGAACCGCAUGGUUCAAAAGUGAAAGACGGUCUUGCUGUCACUUAUAGAUGGAUCCGCGCUGCAUUAGCUAGUUGGUAAGGUAACGGCUUACCAAGGCAACGAUGCAUAGCCGACCUGAGAGGGUGAUCGGCCACACGGGAACUGAGACACGGUCCAGACUCCUACGGGAGGCAGCAGUAGGGAAUCUUCCGCAAUGGGCGAAAGCCUGACGGAGCAACGCCGCGUGAGUGAUGAAGGUCUUCGGAUCGUAAAACUCUGUUAUUAGGGAAGAACAUAUGUGUAAGUAACUGUGCACAUCUUGACGGUACCUAAUCAGAAAGCCACGGCUAACUACGUG
rnacentral:rRNA from 1 species